rnacentral:rRNA from 1 species
GACGAACGCUGGCGGCGCGCCUAACACAUGCAAGUCGAACGAGAGAUGAGGAGCUUGCUCUUCAAAUCGAGUGGCGAACGGGUGAGUAACGCGUGAGGAACCUGCCUCAAAGAGGGGGACAACAGUUGGAAACGACUGCUAAUACCGCAUAAGCCCACGGCUCGGCAUCGAGCAGAGGGAAAAGGAGCAAUCCGCUUUGAGAUGGCCUCGCGUCCGAUUAGCUAGUUGGUGAGGUAACGGCCCACCAAGGCGACGAUCGGUAGCCGGACUGAGAGGUUGAACGGCCACAUUGGGACUGAGACACGGCCCAGACUCCUACGGGAGGCAGCAGUGGGGAAUAUUGCACAAUGGGGGAAACCCUGAUGCAGCGACGCCGCGUGGAGGAAGAAGGUCUUCGGAUUGUAAACUCCUGUUGUUGAGGAAGAUAAUGACGGUACUCAACAAGGAAGUGACGGCUAACUACGUGCCAGCAGCCGCGGUAAAACGUAGGUCACAAGCGUUGUCCGGAAUUACUGGGUGUAAAGGGAGCGCAGGCGGGAGAACAAGUUGGAAGUGAAAUCCAUGGGCUCAACCCAUGAACUGCUUUCAAAACUGUUUUUCUUGAGUAGUGCAGAGGUAGGCGGAAUUCCCGGUGUAGCGGUGGAAUGCGUAGAUAUCGGGAGGAACACCAGUGGCGAAGGCGGCCUACUGGGCACCAACUGACGCUGAGGCUCGAAAGUGUGGGUAGCAAACAGGAUUAGAUACCCUGGUAGUCCACACCGUAAACGAUGAUUACUAGGUGUUGGAGGAUUGACCCCUUCAGUGCCGCAGUUAACACAAUAAGUAAUCCACCUGGGGAGUACGACCGCAAGGUUGAAACUCAAAGGAAUUGACGGGGGCCCGCACAAGCAGUGGAGUAUGUGGUUUAAUUCGACGCAACGCGAAGAACCUUACCAAGUCUUGACAUCCCUUGACGAUGCUGGAAACAGUAUUUCUCUUCGGAGCAAGGAGACAGGUGGUGCAUGGUUGUCGUCAGCUCGUGUCGUGAGAUGUUGGGUUAAGUCCCGCAACGAGCGCAACCCUUAUGGUCAGUUACUACGCAAGAGGACUCUGGCCAGACUGCCGUUGACAAAACGGAGGAAGGUGGGGAUGACGUCAAAUCAUCAUGCCCUUUAUGACUUGGGCUACACACGUACUACAAUGGCGUUAAACAAAGAGAGGCAAGACCGCGAGGUGGAGCAAAACUCAGAAACAACGUCCCAGUUCGGACUGCAGGCUGCGACUCGCCUGCACGAAGUCGGAAUUGCUAGUAAUCGUGGAUCAGCAUGCCACGGUGAAUACGUUCCCGGGCCUU